rnacentral:lncRNA from 10 species
AUUGCUGUUGCUGCCGCCGCUGCUGCUGCUACUGCCGCCGCCGCCGCUGUUGCCGCUGGUGCCGCUGCCGCCGCCGCUGCUCAUGAUCAUUAUUUUACCUUUUAAUUCUUUUUUUUUCCGCUCUUGCCAAAUGCUUUGGCUCCAAGUUUUCUAUGUGUAUCUAUUGAUAUAAAUGUAUAUAUUUAUUUAUUCUAGCUGUCAGGUGUUAAAAUAAAUGCCGAAGAUUAGUC